UAUUCUUUCCUUCCGAAAACAGAAGAGAAGUAAUCUGAUAAUUAGAUGUCAAGCUAUGCUUUAUCCAACUUGGUGCCUAUGCUUAGCAAUCUGAAUUUCCAGAAAAUGACAUUGAUCAGAUGCUUUAUCCAACUUGGUGCCUAUGCUUACCAACAAAAAAGUACAGUUAAGAAUAUCUUUGUUGUUCGCUAAUUUUAAAAUGGUAAGAAUGCUCUUAGGUGGAGCUGCUAUUUCUGAACUUGGAACGAAUGCAUAUGGUGGAAUUGGGGCCUUGACGAGUCAAUUCGAUCAAACUUCAGGGUGUACCAAGUGAAAACCGAGUCCCGUGUAGUCAAGAUCUUAAUCUAUUUUAUUGGUUUUCUACGAAUUUUCAUGCUGUUUUCAAUUAAUUUUUGAUGAUCCACCAAACUGUAUUAUGCAGUACUGGUUCCCAAUUUUGAAGAACCAAAAUCGUUUUUGCAUAUUAUGCAGGGUAGAUAGAGGUUAAUGCUUUGUUUCAAUGAAAUUUUGAUAUAACAUGGGACUGGAGAGUUUCAAGUGGGCAAGGGACGAGAGGGUGAAUGGUGUUCUCUGCUUCAAUACUAUUUGAAGUUUUUCGUAUGGAGUGGUAAGCGCAGUUUUCAGUACUAUGAUAGAGCACAUCCUUUCUUUUCUUACCAAUCUAAAUUAAUCAGAAUUUGGUAUGGUUAUGCAUAUAAACAUGAAUCUCUAGCUUUAAUCAAGAGUGUCUGCGUCCACUAUUAUCGAUUGAUUAUGCCAAUGGAACACUAAUUAUCUUUUGUUGGUGGAUAACUGGGUAAGCAUUAUACAAGUCUGUAUAUGUAUAAAACACAGAUCGGUGUUAUUUCCCAGUCUUGGAAUAAGAUCACAUUAGCAUUUCUUUAUCUUACAAAAUGAAGGGCCUAUGGCCGGUUAACAAACAUGACUUUUGGAUAAAAAAUGUGACUUGCCAACUGAUGUUCCUUCAUGGUGAGUUUUAGGGUUUGAAGUAUCUUCUCUGGAGAAGCUAACAGCAGAACCUGAGGGGCUAUUACAAUAUUUAGAACAUGAACAUGAAAAUGGAGAUUAAUAAGGAAUUUGGGGAAGCAGUGCAUGUCGUUAACACACACGAAAAAGGGAGAAUCGUUCGUUUGUAUGCUUUCUUUUCUAACCCAUUUUUCUUAUCUCUUCCUUCAUCUUUCGUUCUUUUACCUUAUGUUACCUUCUUCUAACUUGGUGUAACUUCUCUACCUUUGGCUUUUAAUUUCACAUAUCUUUCCCGCUUAUCAGCUUUUCUAAUCUUUGUAUCUGAUUUUCAGAGAAACCGCAUUUAGUUUACAGUAUCUUUUCUUUUACCCUUUCGCAACACUAAUUUGUUGGUUUUUAUUUGGAUUUUUGCUUGCGGUCAAUUGAUAGCACCGAGUCCCCAAUCUAAGCAAAGUUGGAAUCUAAGCAAAGUUGGAGUAAAUUUCAACCACACAAUUUGAGCAACAAUCUGAGCUUUCAAAGAUAUUUGCUCGAUCUUCACUAAGAAAAGGGAAAACACCAACAGCCAAGUCGUCGUUCUUUUUGCUGUUUCAUGUGAUUCUUUUUUCCUAAAUCUGUUUCUGAUUUCUAUUAGUUACUUGCUGUUAAGUGGUUAAAGCUAUUGGUUACAUGCUUUACUCCAUUUGCUGUUUCUUUUAUUGUUAGGCACGUCUUUUCUCCUUAGGUGUUAAAAUGUUUUCUCCAUUUCUUUUUGUGUUUUUAUUGGUUUGGAAUUUUGAUCUGGUUUGUUUUCACUUCACUAUUAUAUUAAAUAUGCAUAUAUACAACUUAUUCAGUACAUUUUUCAUGCAGGCUGUCAUAUUAAGGUUUUAGAUCUUUGCCGGUAAUUUAUCAGUUCUAGGGUUUUUGAUUUAUUUCUUGAGUGAUUUCUAUGAUGAUAACUUGGUAAUCUUAGCUGUUUGGAUUGGAUUCAGGGAAAGAGAUGACAAGGAAAAAAAGCAGAAUGUAAUUUUCUCUCUUUUUUGUUUUUCUUAACGUUAUUAGGGCUGAUUCAUCGGAGUUGAACAAGCAAAAAAACUUUUGGGAACAAACGGGUAAAUAAGGCAUGUGAAGUGAGGAAUUUGUUUUAUAGAUAUCAAAUGAUGUUCCUGAGACUGGGGUAUGAAGCUUGUUUCCAUAUUCUCAUGGAGCGUGUGUUUUAAUUCUUUGUUUCCAAUUCUUGUUUAUGAUUUUUUUUGGUGGUUAAGAUAUUCUUGAAUUGUUAACUGAUUUACAGUUUCUUUCUUUCUCUGCUCAUGCUCUGUAAGUGAAAAUAUUUAUUUGUAAAGAGAAUUCUAGUAAUUUAGCUACAGAAUUGCGACAGGUAACCUUUUUUUUUCUUCUAAAAAAUUAAAACUAUCGACAGGUGAUUCUUUAGGCGACAGAUCUGUCAUUAAACUUGGCAAUGGGUUAUUUGUCUCUCGCUAGAUUUAGCGAUAGAUAGAUAGGCUGUCCCUAUUAUCCAUUGCAAAGUUAGCAACAGACUGCUUAUUAUUCUGGGGCAGAGAUUGUGAUUUAGGAUCUUCAAAAUUGCUUCUUCUUCCCUUUGAUGUUUUGGUUUGGUUAUCAGGUUGACAAUAUAUUGAAUAAUUGAUUCUAUUAGUCUUUGGUUUAUCUUGUUUUUUUAAUUAAUUGAUUUGUUGAUAAUUCUUAUGAACUAUAACUCAAACUGGAGAUUUGAUUGCUUGCUUCCCGAGAUUCUGUUUCUGUCUCAUCAGUAUAUGGGCUGAAGGUGGAGAAAAGAAAGGAUGCAAGUUUUAAUUUAACUCAUCAGUAUGUGGAGAUGCAUUUGCGCUGAGAUUGAAAGUGGUUUUUCUUAGUUCACAGUCCACAAAUUCUUAACUUCAAAAUAUCUCAUAACAUCGGUUUUUUUUUUUUCUUGAGUGUUGUAUUUUAUGAUGUCCGUGCAAUUCAAUUUGAUAUUUAUGCAAUAUUGAUUUCAGGUCGGAAUUUUGACUGGCUUCUUGAUACAGUGGAAGAAUUGGUCUGAUGUUGUUCUGUUUUGUGUUUCAUUUCUUCCCAGGUUAGAGGAUUGAAGUUCUAGAGCUAUUGAUUUGUUAGAAUUAACUAAAAGGAGCAUUAUCAGAAUGAUCUCUGGGUGUCUUAUGGUGGUAGUCUUGUAGGAUUCAACUCCAAUUUGAAGAUCUGAGGCUUGAAAGUAUGUUCUAUUAUUUUGAAUGGUUUUACUGAGGGAAGUUGGGGUUUUCAUAUUGGUCAAUUAUUAAUUGGAAUGUGAUAGCGAAAGAAGAACUGAUUCUUCUUAUUUUCUUUGAUGUGUGCUAGGUCUUAGUGGUGACGAAUUUGAAUUUGUUUCAUUUUGCUUCUCUUGUGGGUUAACUAGCAGUACAAUGAAGAACUGUGGAAAACAUUGACUUGAACUUGCUAAUUAGUUGGUUCUUUGCAAUGUUUGUCUGUGAACUAGACUGGAACUGGAGAUUUGGUUCCUUUCUUUCCAGGAGUCUUCUUCAUUCUUCUGAAAAAGAUACGAUGUAGGACUAAUAAAGCACCACUCAGCAGUUAGUGAUUUAAGGCUCAUCAUAAAUAAUGUUGGAUUCUUAUAGUACUGUUGUGUGACAAAAUAAAAAAAUGUUUUUCUCCAGAAUUUUUAACAUUAUGCUUCUUGAUUGUGGUGGAUUUUGAAUAUCAGCAUGUAGAGUAACAUAUGGCUACCAAUUUGCACUCCGAAAUUGUGAUUAUGCUUCCAGAUAAUGUUAUUUUCUUAAUGAUUUCAUAUUUUCUCAUUGUUUUGUGUAUUGAGUAUUGGUUGUGUGAUCUUUCAGGGUUCUAUUGGAGCAAUACAUGCGCUAAGAUUGAAAAGUAUGUUUCCAUAGAUUGUACUGUACAAUUAUGUGAUUUAGUUGAUUUUGGCAGCGGGAGAUUUUCUGAGUAUUAGUUGUGAGUUUUCAGGAUUGUGUCUGCUCGUGGAAAUAUAUGAGCUAAGACUGAAAAAUAUAUCUUUCUCUACCAAAUUCCAAGUAUUGGUGUUGUGUGCUUGUGUAGGAAUCCUCCAGCUCGUGGGGAUGUGUUUGCUGUGAUCUGAGAAUAGGUUUUCCUGGGCAAAAUUUUUUUUUUUUUUUCAAUUGCUAACUUGGUUAUGACGAGGUUUUCAACUUGCGUAGCUAUUUGACUUUCAGUUAAGUUAUACACCUAGACCGAGAUUGGUUGAGUUUUCAGUUGGAUGGAUAAAUACAGCUUUUGGAGUUGAGGUGCAUCUAAUCCAAUAAAGAGUACAUUAAAAGAAAAAAAAAUUACUCUUAAUAUACAAAUUGCUCAUGUAUUUAUUUUAUUAUAUUAAAUUGCUUUUAUAUUUUUAGAAAACUAACUAUUAUUUUCUUUUUGCCCAAAGUCAAUGCAAGUAAAGCAUCAAAUUGAUAAAUAAAAUUACAAUUUCAUCUUUAGAUUUUUUAACAAAAACUGAAAUUGUCUGAAACUAAUUUUUUUAUCAAAAUUCUAAUAGAACUUUAGUAUUGUUACUGUGAUAUUAUUAUUAUUUGUAAUUUUAUAAUCAUUGUUGCUAUUUUUACUACGUAAUCAUGUUCUAGACUGUUAGAUAAAGUUAUCCAUAUGCAUGUUUUCUUAUUUGUUAUGAUAUAUUCAUAGCAGGAGAUUUAGCUAGUUUAUUUCCAUCUCUAUCCAUUGAACUUUUUUAUUCUGUCAUUUUUUAAAAAUUAUCUAACCGACCAACUGUAAUGAACAGGCAAUAACUUAAAACCUGUAAAAGUGAAGCUGUGUGUCCACCGCCUUAGAUCCACAAUUAACCGGCUUUGUCAUUUGAAAAGAAUAAUACCCUUCCUUUCAUCGUUAACUAUAUAAUCUCAGCCUCCCAUCUCCUCCACAUCCAAUUGCUUCUUGAAAUAGUUCGGUGAUUAAUCAUUGCAUAACUUUAUUUCCUUGGGAUUUAGGCUUGGGUUCUUCCUUUGCUUUGCCAAGUGCGCUUUUCAGUUUUCAGUGAUUUUGAUUCGCGCGUAUGGGUUUUGCGUAGAUCAGCUUGUUGGUCUGAGAGAAGAGUUGGUUUAAUUUGGUAUUUUGGCGGUUCUGUGGGUAUAAUAUGUGUUCAUAUCUAGUCUUUUAAUUCUCUCUGGUUGGCUAUUUUGUUGUAGUAGUAUCUGAAUCACCAGAAUAUUCAGGUUUGCAAGUUGCUUGAUAACUUUGUCAGAUUUAAUUGUAUCAAUUGAUGAAAGUUAGGGUUUUGUUAGUGGAAGUAUUGGUCUGAUGAUUGAUCAUGUUUUAAGAACUGGUCUGAUCUUUGAAUUUGUUGCUUUUUGUGUUGGAUGAUUUAUCAACUUGACAACAUGUUGAGCAAUCUUUAAACUUUGUUUUACGUUGUCUUUUGAUUUCAUUAGUCUUCCUUAUUAACUAGAACUAGACAAAGAUUCAGCUGUUUUCUUCGCAGGGCCCUCUUCCUGUCUCAUUAGUAUAUGAGGUAAAGAUUGGGAGAAAAUACUAAGGAUUUCUUGCAUCUUAUUUUCUACAAUGUGUUAUUUAACUCAUGAUUUUGUAAAGAUAUAUUUGCACUAAAAAUUGAAAAAUGACUUAUUUGAUCGAGUAUUAUGCUUUAUUAAAUUUUAAUUAUGUUGGAUUCUUAGUCUCUAGGUUGUGUGCCUUUCCAGAAUUCUAUUUGCAUGUGGAGCAACAUGUGGCUAAAACGUUUAGAGUGGAGAUAUAGUUGCUCUAAUAUUUAAAAGUGGCUUUUCGAUUCAAUAUUAUGUCUCUUGAAUCCUUAUUAUGCUGGAUUUUUAGUGUACGGAUCGCGUGCCUUUCAGAAUUCUAUCUGCAUAAGGAGCAACAUGUGGCUAAAACAGUUGAUGUAGAGAUAUAUUUGCACUAAGGUUGAAAUUGGCUUUUCAAUUUAGUAUUACGCCUCUGGAAUCCUGAUUUGCUGGAUUCUCAGUGAGUGGACUUUCCAGAAUUCUAUCUGCAUCUGGAGCAACAUGUGGCUAAAACAUUCAGAAAAUGAGUUGCUUGUGUGGCUAAAACAUUAAAAUCAGUUUUCUGAUGACCCGUUGUACAUUCUAACUUGAAAAUCAGUUUUCUGAUGACCCGUUGUACAUUUCUCAAUGUUACUUCUUGAUCUUUUGUCUCCUCAAUCUUGUCGAAAAAUAUUGAGAAGGUUAUCUUGAUUUUAUGCCUCUUGCAUCCUCUCUAGAGAUAUUGGAAAAACUGGUUUUCAAUCUUUAUUGUUACACUUCCUGACGUGGGUUUGAAAGGUUGCUCGUGUUGCUAAAAAAGAUUGAAUAAUCUCUAUUCUCAGAACUCUGUCUAUAUUUUGUGAUUUUAUGACUUGAAAUUCUUGAAUCUCAUUUAAAGUUUUUCGUACGCUCAUUGAUAAUGUUGGAUCACGAGGGUUGCUUGUGUGGCUGAAACAGUAAUAUUCGUAAGAGAUUAAAAUUUCUGUUUUCUUUGAUGUCCCUCUAUUAGUUGUGGAUUUUGAGUAUUGGCCGUGUGAUUUCUCGGGAUUUGAUUAGCUUGUGUGACAAUGUUUCCAAGGAUUUCUUGCAUCUUAUUCUCUACAAUGUGUUAUUUAACUCAUGAUUUUGCAAACAAAUAUUUGCGCGUGUUAUGCUUAUUGAACUCUUAUUAUGUUAGAUUCUUAGUCUGUGGAUUGUGUGCCUUUCCAGAAUUCUAUUUGCAUGUGGAGCAACAUGUGGCUAAAACAUUUGAAGUGGAGAUAUAGUUGCUCUAAUAUUUAAAAGUGGCUUUUUGAUUCAAUAUUAUGUCUCUUGAAUCCUUAUGCUGGAUUUUUAGUGUGCGGAUUGUGCGCCUUUCCAGAAUUCAAUCUGCAUAAGGAGCAACAUGUGGCUAAAACAGUUGAUGCAGAGAUAUAUUUGCACUAAGAUUGAAAUUGGCUUUCAAUUUAGUAAUACGCCUCUGGAAUCCUGAUUUGGUCAGAUUCUUAGUGUGUGGAUGGUGUGCCUUUCCAGAAUUCUAUCUGCAUCUGGAGAUACAUGUGGCUAAAACAUUCGGAAAAUGAGUUGCUUGUAGCUAUAACAUUCGGAAAAUUCUAUAUCACUCUAUAUUUCUUGAUUUUUUGACUUGAUAUUCUUGAAUCUCAUCUAAAGUUUUUCAUUACACUCGUUGGAUCAUGAGGGGUUGCUUGUGUGGCUGAAAAAGUAAAAUGCGUGAGAGAUUAAAAUUUAGGUUCUCUUUGAUGUCUCCAUAGUAGUUGUGGAUUUUGAGAAUUUUUUUACUGUAAUUUCUCGGCAUUUGAUUAGUCUGUGUGACAAUGUUUCCAAGGA